CUGGUGAACUCGGCGUGUGCAGAAGCAAUGGGACUGCAGUGGAAUGUGAUUCUUGAAUGAAAUAAUAAUAAUAAAAAAAAUACGAAAUUCAGAAAACCGAAAAUUAAAAAAAAUAGAAAAUUUGAAAAUUUGAAAUUGGAAAUCAGUGAUUUAAAAACACCAGGAGUGAUUCCCGUUAAUCCGCCAAAUAAUUAUAUUAAUCCCCGUUAGGCGGUUACGUGGUGAUUUAUCUGGAGAUUUCAUCGGGAAGGUAAUUGUGACAGCUGCUUCCUGUUGGCAAUAACGAGUGACUUGAGGAAAUUUUUGGAUGGUCCGUUUGGAAGGUAUGAGGAUGGAGCCAUGACAACUGAGGACAAACGCCACAAGAAUGAAGCAAUCAAAUCUGUAGCCCAAGAGCCUUAUGAGUGACUCACCAGCCAGUGUAGACUCCCCUGACUCAGUAUGUAACCUUUGACCCCAACCCCUCAUUAAUAGUGAGUCGUUCGAGGAUUUCAUGUUUCUCUAGCCCACACCCCC